CCAGAAUAGAACAAGAAGGGGGACAAGAUAGGUAUUAUAAAUGUGGAAAAACAGGCCAUUUUAAGAGAGAAUGCCCUGACCUAAAGGCCACAGAGGAAAUUCCUCCUCUCAUGCCAACCUUCAGAGAGGAAGAAUACGUGAGUCAGGGGCUCUUUCUUUUCCACCUUGAGUCCCAUCAAGAGCCCUUGAUAAAUUUGGAGGUGGGACCAAACCAUUAACUAAUAACAUUCCUCAUUGAUUCUGGAGCUACUUGUUCUUCCUUACGCUUUUCUCCAAGUGGCCUCAGCUGUUCUCCAGAAGAGCUACUAUUAUCUGGGGUGAAAGAAGAGAGGUUUAAGGCCAAAAUCCUAGAAGAUAUAGAAGUCAGAUACAAAAAUGAGGCAGCUAAUAUUCAAUUUCCAUUAAUUCCUGAAGCAGGCACUAAUUUGUUAGGAAGAGACUUAAUGCUAAAGUUAGGUCUUGGACUGCAAGUAGGGCCAAAGGGGUUCCUUCCCUCUCUCCACCUGCUAACUACUGUUGAUGAGAGGAAAAUUCAUCCGGAUUUAUGGUCAAGAGAAGGAAAGCAAGGGAGUUACGGAUUCCCCUGAUACAAAUACAUUUAAAGGUUCCAAGGGGGAGUAGCCCGGAGAAAGUAAUACCCGAUCUCCCUGGAAGGCCGGGUAGGACUAAAACCUGUGAUUGAAGGCCUUAUUAAAGAUGGACUUUUAGAGCCUUGCAUGUCUCCGUAUAAUACCCUUAUCCUACCUGUCAGGAAGCCUGAUGGAUCCUACCUAUUAGUACAAGAUCUCAGAGCUAUAAAUGAAAUAGUUCAAACCACUCACGCUACUAUGACAAAUCCAUAUAUUAACCUUAGUAAAAUUCUGUAAAGUCAUCAAUGGUUUACUGUAAUAGACUUAAAGGAUGCUUUCUGGGCACGUCCUUUGGCUGAGGACAGCCAAGAUCUAUUCACAUUCAAAUGGGAGGACCCCCAUACAGGACAGAAGCAGCAGUACCGGUGGAUAGUAUUGCCCCAGGAUUUGAGGAUUCACUGAAUAUUUUUACUCAUGCUCUAGAUAGGAUUAUUAGAAAGACAGACACUCCACCACAUUUACAAUUAAUCCUAUAUAUGGAUGACAUACUUAUAUCUGGAGAAGAUAUAGAAAAAGUCUUUUAGCACAAGCACCACCCUUGGAAUUCCCAGUACAAUCGCAUCAGCCUGGAGACCACGUCUUCAUAAAGGGAUGGAAGGAAGGAAGGCUCGAGCCAGCCUGGGAAGGAUCCUACCUCAUGUUAUUGACCAUCGAAACCGCAGUUCGCACUGCCGAGAAGGGGUGGACCCAUCACACUCGAGUCAAGAAAGCGUCGACACCCUCAGAAUCCUGGAUUGUGGUCCCCGAGCCAAGUCCCACCAAGUUAAAAUUAAGAAGAACCUAACAUACCUUUAUUUCUAUUUUUCUUUCUUUCCUCUCACUAUCUCUCAUUUUAUUAUUAACAUAACUAGAUUGGAAUCAUCUCAAGUGAUAUCCUUUGAUGCUUGUCUAGUGAUGCCAUGCGGGGACCUACAUAACCAAAGGCAACUAGCCUCUUCAGAAAAAUAUCUAUGUCCUGGUCCCCCAUUUAAUCUAACAGUCUCUCACUCCCAUAGAUGCGAUCAAUUAAAGCCAAGA
rnacentral:lncRNA from 1 species